ACUGCUUGCUGUGUGGUCCAUAAUAUCUGUGAGAGUAAGGGGGAGAUGUUUAUGGUGGGGUGGAGGUUGAGACGAAUCGCCUGGCUGCUGUUUUUGCACAGCCACAUUCAAA